rnacentral:rRNA from 1 species
CAANGUAUGCUUUGGAAACUGUUAGACUNGAGUGCAGAAGGGGAGAGUGGAAUUCCAUGUGUAGCGGUGAAAUGCGUAGAUAUAUGGAGGAACACCGGUGGCGAAAGCGGCUCUCUGGUCUGUCACUGACGCUGAGGCUCGAAAGCGUGGGUAGCGAACAGGAUUAGAUACCCUGGUAGUNCACGCCGUAAACGAUGAGUGCUAGGUGUUAGGUCCUUUCCGGGACUUAGUGCCGCAGCUAACGCAAUAAGCACUCCGCCUGGGGAGUACGACCGCAAGGUUGAAACUCAAAGGAAUUGACGGGGGCCCGCACAAGCGGUGGAGCAUGUGGUUUAAUUCGAAGCAACGCGAAGAACCUUACCAGGUCUUGACAUCCCGAUGCCCGCUCUAGAGAUAGAGUUUUUCUUCGGAACAUCGGAGACAGGUGGUGCAUGGUUGUCGUCAGCUCGUGUCGUGAGAUGUUGGGUUAAGUCCCGCAACGAGCGCAACCCUUAUUGUUAGUUGCCAUCAUUGAGUUGGGCACUCUAGCGAGACUGCCGGUAAUAAACCGGAGGAAGGUGGGGAUGACGUCAAAUCAUCAUGCCCCUUAUGACCUGGGCUACACACGUGCUACAAUGGUUGGUACAACGAGUCGCAAGCCGGUGACGGCAAGCUAAUCUCUGAAAGCCAAUCUCAGUUCGGAUUGUAGGCUGCAACUCGCCUACAUGAAGUCGGAAUCGCUAGUAAUCGCGGAUCAGCACGCCGCGGUGAAUACGUUCCCGGGCCUUGUACACACCGCCCGUCACACCACGAGAGUUUGUAACACCCAAAGUCGGUGAGGUAACCAUAUAG